rnacentral:rRNA from 1 species
UACGUAGGAUGCAAGCGUUGUCCGGAAUUACUGGGCGUAAAGAGCUCGUAGGUGGUUUGUCGCGUUGUCCGUGAAAACUCCCAACUCAAUUGUGGGCGUGCGGGCGAUACGGGCAGACUGGAGUACUGCAGGGGAGACUGGAAUUCCUGGUGUAGCGGUGGAAUGCGCAGAUAUCAGGAGGAACACCGGUGGCGAAGGCGGCUUCCUGGCCUGUUCUUGACGCUGGAGGCGCGAAAGCCUAGGGGAGCAAACGGG